GUAGUGGCUCAGUGGUAGAGUGCUUGCCUAGCAUGUGUGAGGCCCUGGGUUCGAUCCUCAGCACCACA
rnacentral:tRNA from 1 species